AGUGAACGCUGGCGGUAGGCCUAACACAUGCAAGUCGAACGGCAGCACAGUAAGAGCUUGCUCUUACGGGUGCCGAGUGGCGGACGGGUGAUGAAUACAUCGGAAUCUACUUUUUCGUGGGAGAUAACGUAGGGAAACUUACGCUAAUACCGCAUACGACCUACGGGUGAAAGCAGGGGAUCUUCGGACCUUGCGCGAUUGAAUGAGCCGAUGUCGGAUUAGCUAGUUGGCGGGGUAAAGGCUCACCAAGGCGACGAUCCGUAGCUGGUCUGAGAGGAUGAUCAGUCACACUGGAACUGAGACACGGUCCAGACUCCUACGGGAGGCAGCAGUGGGGAAUAUUGGACAAUGGGCGCAAGCCUGAUCCAGCCAUACCGCGUGGGUGAAGAAGGUCUUCGGGUUGUAAAGCCCUUUUGUUGGGAAAGAAAAGCAGCAGGUUAAUACCCCGCUGUUCUGACGGUACCCAAAGAAUAAGCACCGGCUAACUUCGUG
rnacentral:rRNA from 1 species